rnacentral:tRNA from 1 species
GACUUGUUAGUUUAUUGAAAACAUCUUAAUUUCGAUAAGAUGAUGGAGAGAUCCACAAGUAA